CGUGGGCCUCCUACAUGACCAACUCUCCAACUCUCAUUGUUAUGAUUGGCUUGCCAGCCCGGGGUAAAACCUAUGUGUCCAAGAAACUAACCCGCUAUCUCAACUGGAUUGGGGUGCCCACCAAAGUGUUUAAUCUUGGAGUGUAUCGCCGUGAAGCAGUGAAGUCCUAUAAAUCCUAUGACUUCUUUCGGCAUGAUAACAAGGAGGCCAUGCAGAUCCGCAAACAGUGUGCUCUGGUAGCACUGGAGGAUGUUAAGGCCUACCUCACUGAGGAGAAUGGGCAGAUUGCAGUGUUUGAUGCUACCAAUACGACCCGGGAAAGGAGGGACAUGAUUUUGGACUUUGCCAAGCAGAAUUCCUUCAAGGUAUUCUUUGUGGAAUCUGUCUGUGAUGAUCCUGAUGUCAUUGCUGCCAAUAUCCUGGAGGUAAAGGUGUCAAGUCCUGACUACCCUGAAAGAAACAGAGAGAAUGUGAUGGAGGACUUCCUCAAGAGAAUUGAGUGCUAUAAAGUCACCUACCGACCCCUUGACCCAGACAACUAUGACAAGGAUCUUUCUUUUAUCAAGGUGAUGAAUGUGGGCCAGCGAUUUUUGGUCAACAGAGUCCAGGACUACAUCCAGAGCAAGAUAGUGUACUACCUCAUGAAUAUCCACGUCCAGCCUCGUACAAUUUACCUCUGCCGACACGGGGAGAGUGAAUUCAAUCUCCUAGGGAAGAUUGGGGGUGACUCGGGCCUCUCUGUGCGGGGAAAACAGUUUGCCCAAGCUCUAAGGAAGUUUCUGGAGGAACAGGAGAUACAAGACCUCAAGGUGUGGACAAGCCAGUUGAAGAGGACUAUCCAGACUGCUGAAUCUCUUGGGGUGACCUACGAGCAGUGGAAGAUUCUGAAUGAAAUUGAUGCUGGCGUGUGUGAGGAGAUGACGUAUGCAGAGAUUGAAAAGCGGUACCCAGAGGAAUUUGCACUUCGAGAUCAAGAGAAGUAUCUGUAUCGAUAUCCUGGUGGGGAGUCAUACCAGGACCUGGUACAGAGGCUGGAGCCUGUCAUCAUGGAGCUGGAACGUCAGGGCAAUGUUCUCGUCAUCUGCCACCAGGCUGUCAUGCGCUGUCUCCUUGCCUACUUCUUGGAUAAGGGUGCAGAUGAACUGCCAUACUUGAGGUGUCCACUCCAUACCAUCUUCAAACUUACUCCUGUGGCUUAUGGGUGCAAAGUAGAAACAAUUACACUCAACGUGGAGGCUGUGAACACUCACCGUGACAAGCCAACUAACAACUUUCCCAAGAACCAAACCCCUGUAAGGAUGAGAAGGAACAGCUUUACGCCUCUGUCCAGUUCGAAUACAAUCAGGCGUCCAAGAAAUUACAGUGUUGGGAGCCGGCCCCUCAAGCCCCUCAGCCCUCUCCAUGCCCUGGACAUGCAAGAAGGGGCCAACCAGCCGAAGACCCAAGGGCAAGAUGGAAAGUUGGGUCUUUUAAGACAGGUUCCCAGAUGGGAUGGUCUGAAGGAGGAGGAAAAGAGUAUGUACUCCCUGGGGCUACGCAUGCCUCAUGUACUUGGUUCUUCUCUCUGUUCCCUGUCACCUAAACUGACUAAUGUCCUUGUGUUGAUUAAGUGGAGGGAUGGUGUUAAAUGGAGAGAGACAAAACCCCUUUGUUUCUUGUCUCUUUAAUGUGUCUUUUACUCACAAUACUUACUUGACUUCCCCUCUUCCAUUUCCACUUUGGAUUGCCCAGUGUAAUGCAUGGCAUUGUGGUGGCUUUGGAAGGAAGGGCGGUUGGUGCGGAAGAAGUCUGGGCUCCGUUGAUUCUGUCUUCAGUGGGUCUACAUGGAUCUGCACUGGGGUAGUCUUUCCUUUCCUUUCUCCCCUCCUCUCCAGCCAGGUCCUGCAAGGGUCAGCCCAGGCUAUAGAACAUCCACAGAAUGCUCUGGAGCUUGCAAAUGGACAUAGGGGUCACCAGGUGCUUCAUAGAAACAUUUAACAUUUGAGAAACACUGUCACAGAGGGAAGAAUUACUAACAAGGAGAAUGUGAAGGCUGUGCUUAUACCCCCCUCCAUGGCAUCCCUCACACUGUGCUCCGAUGCUGUGAGGCUGAGGCCAGACAUCUCCACGGAAUCCAUCUCCUGAAAAGCUUGGGAAGUCAGCACCACUGAGGCUAGAACAGGAAGUUAAGUGGGGUCUGCAAAUUUGGGGCCACCAAAAUGAGGCCUAGAAAAAUAUCACCACCUUUUUUCCCCUCAUUCCUAAUGGGAGUAUUAGCUAUACUGUGCCUCACAAUGUUCAACAGCCUGAACUGAUGAAUUUUUAUUGUUUCUUUGCUGAAAUUGGCUCAGGUUUACAAAUAUUGUUCUGUUUAGGCAUUUUAUACCCUGUUACUGUGUGCACCCUCAGCUGGCUAUCCUUUGCCUAAAGUGCAAAUACACUUCUUCAAAAUUAGUUUCUAGGUGAGAGGAAUGAACUCCAGGAAGCCUUUCCCAUGCAGUUAGAGCUGGUAUUUGCAUCUGUGGCAGACAAGCUGACUGGAGUCCAGUGCCUGUAUGCUAGCAGUCAUUCUGGUCACACUUGAAACGAGACAAAUCGCCUGCUGUAUGGAGGGUAUCUGAGAAAUCAGUCCCUGAAUUGUCUCUUCUACAGUAAUGAAAGAGUGUUUCUCUAGCAUCCCUUUGACUCAGAGAACUUAUUCUCAUUCUAGGCCUUCCAGGACAGAAUGACUACAAGACACCUGCUACCCCCAAAGGGUGCCCAUCUUUAAGUUCUUUUUUGUAACUACUUUAUUUUCUACCCAAGGUUUAACACUCCUGGAUAAUUGAGAAUGGGGGCUGGUAAAAAAAAAAAAGUAGGGUGUUAUUUAUAUCCAAGAAAGAAAGAAAGAUGACUCCUUGGGAGUCAACUCUACCAGGGAGUUUUUGGUUUUUGUUUUUUUGUUUUUUCGGCUUCAAAACAAGUAGAGAUAGAUAUGCCCCUUGUUGGGGUCUCUAACAGAGCUGUGCUGUGACUUUGAGAGCUGCCCCUGAGCUAGUUGUCAUUAUCAUGAUCUGCUAGCUGGUCUCUCAUGUCACACUGCAGAAGCACGGGAGAAGAAAGACCUUGAUAUAUUCAUUAGUCAAUUGGUGUCAAAUGUACAAAUAGGUCUCUUUAAAUGUGAUUUUAAUAUGUUACUACUCCUGAGGAAGAAUGCAGACUCCCCCAAGUAAAUUAUAUCUAUUUUUUUAAGAUCUGGAUGUUUUUAACUUUAAAUGUUUUCCUCCUUUCACUAAGAUAAGUUGUUGGGCGAAAGGAUAAAUAGCAAGAAAAGUAAUGACGUACAGCUUUUGCUGAAUGGUUCUUUGAUACUGUAGAUGAUACAAAGACUGUUAUCUAAAAUGUGAUGAGCUGGACUGCAGGCAGUCCAGCAUCCAGCAAUGCAGAGCUUACUUUAUACGCACAAGCUGCCUUCAGAAAGGCUCCUCACCCUGCUCUGUAGUAGAUGAUGUUCAGCUGGCUACUUGUAGCAUGCUGUACUGUAAUGAUUUUGUUCUUGCGGUGCAGGUUUCUCUCUGCAUCUAAAAACCCUAUCUUCUGAUGAUCAGUGUUUUUAUUGAGUUAUUUAUUCUAUGUAAGGCAUUUUGAAGUUCUCAUUAUCAGCAUUUGCAUGUAUUUAAUCGGAAUGUAAUGUAAUUUAUGUUGUCAGUUUUUUGGUAGAAAUGUAGUUGGCUUGAACUUUCAAGUCUUAUGUUCAUAGUAUUACCUUAAGUUAAAUUUCUAGACUAUGAACAUCUGUUCUGUAAGAGGAUAAUAACAUGUUAUGUCACAGUGAGUUUUUUUAAAUACUGUUUUUCUCAUUGAUUUUUAUUAUAAGCCAAGAGAUGUAUUUUUCUGGA